rnacentral:tRNA from 1 species
GCCGGGGUAGCUCAGUGGUAGAGCACACGACUGAAAAUCGUGGUGUCGACAGUCCAAUUCUGUCCCCCGGCACCA